ensembl:lncRNA
GUUGGCUCCUCUGGGUGAUAGUCAUUGUUUGUCUUCUCUUCGUUGGGGGCAGCUCGUUUCUCCUGAAGAAUGUCGGGCCUUUUGACGACUAACUCCAGUCCGUGCUCCUCCUGCUGUCUCUCUCCCCGGCCCUCCUUCUCUCUCCUCCUCCUCCUCCGCCGCUGCCGCUGGACGCCAAGUCAUUGUCCGCUGCCCGUGGCGUGGCGGGGCGUGGUCUGGACGCCACAGGAGGCGGGGUCAGGCGUCUCCGCAGAGACCUCCGUGAUUCGCUGCCGUACGAGGCCGGGAUGAUGUCCUAUCCUGGGGAGUCGGCUGACGUCCUGACCCGCCGGGGGGGUAACGAGCUGCUCUAUCAACCAGAGGAGUGGAGGGGGCAGGGCUUAGGACAGGCUCUGCAGCAAUUGGUGGAGAACGACGAGAGGCAUGAACAGGAAACGGCGUACCUGGCCGGGUUGCUCCGCCUCCUCAGUGAAGCUGAAGGAGCUGCCGGAGAGGAGGGAGGUGAGGAGGACCAUGGGCCAGGGGACUUCCAAGGGCCCUAUACCCGUGACUACGAUGAGACAGAGCAGGGGAUGAGAAUGGYAAAGCCCCAGGCUGCAGCUCCAUGGCAGGGCCUACUGGACCCCCAGCUCACCCAGGCRCUGCUCAACAGAUACAGGCAGGAGAGGCUGCAGCAGCAGGCCGGGUUACCAGGUCUACCAGCCGUCAUCAACAGGUUUACAAAUGACAGGCUGGAAACAGGCAGCCAGGACCAAGACCAGGAGGCUCUGAGAUACCUCGUAACCAAGAUCCUGUCCAGCAUUAGUCCCAACAACCCCCAGGGUUCGUCAGGCCGCCGGGUGAGGAGGGACCUGGUGUCUGUGUCUGGUGGUGGGGGUGGAGGGGUCAGAGCAGCCUCAGAACCAGUCUUCCACAGAUCCCGUCGCUCCCUGGUCUCCCCUCCUACUCCCUCCCCCAGCCGGGAGCCCUCUCCGGGGCUUCUGAGGGUCAAGAGGCUGGGGUACAUGGAAGAGGGCCCUGGAUGGCUUGGGGGAGAGCGGGAGGGCCACAAGACCCCAAACCAUGCUGUGGGGUUACAGAGGAUGAAGAGGAUCGACACCGAACUACAGGCCCAACCUGGUGGGAGGGCCAGCCGCAGGAGAAGAGCCCUGAACUACGACCCCCAAGCCCUAACCCACGACCCCGAGCUGCUGGUCCAACACAUCCUACACUACCUGCCACAGUAGAGAGGGAGAGAUAGAGAGACAGUGAGAGAGAUGGAGAGACAGAGAGAGAGAGAUGGAGAGAGAGUGAGAGAGAUGGAGAGAGAGUGAGAGAGAUGGAGAGAGAGUGAGAGAGAGAUGGAGAGAGAUAGAUAAACAGAGAGACGGAGAUAGAGAGAUGGAGAGAGAGAAACAGAGAGAGAUAUAGAUAUAGAUGGAGAGAGAGAGAUAUAGAGGGAGAGCGAUAGAGAAGCAGAGAGAGAUAGACAGAUGGAGUGAAACAGAGAGAGAUACAGAUGGACAGAGAGAGAUGGAGAUAUGGAGAGAGAUGGAUAGAGAGAGAUAGAGGGAGAGAGAAGCAGAGAGAGAGAUAGAGAGAGAUAGAUGGAUAGAGAGAGAUAUAUAGAUAUAGAUGGACAGAGAGAGAUGGAGAUAUGGAGAGAGAGAGAUAGAGGGAGAGAGAAGCAGAGAGAGAGAUGGAGAUUUGGAGAGACAUGGAUAGAGACAGAUGGAGAGAGAUAGAGAGAUAGAGAGAUGGAGAGAGAUAGAGAGAGAUGGAGAGAGAGAGAUAUAGCUUCAUGCUUAUUAACAGUGUAGUAACACCUAACACUCUAUAUAUUAUAAUAUUCAUAAACGUCUUUGAAAUAAAGCUUCAAUCAAAGUAUUCUGAUAGAUUUAUUUGUUUAUUUUUUUGAGUUCAGAUCUUAUUUAUUUGAUUUGUUUGGGAAGUUAAGAAUAGGGAGGGCAAGAGGGAAAAAAGUAAUAUUAAAAAGAUUAGGGAGACACAGGGUAGCCUAGCGGUUAGAGCGUCGGACUAGUAACCGAAAGGUUGCAAGUUCAAACCAUCAAGCUGACAAGGUAGAAAUCUGUUGUUCUGCCCCUGAACAGGCAGUUAACCCACUGUUCCUAGGCCGUCAUUGAAAUGAAGAAUUUGUUGUUAACUCACUUGCCUGGUUAAAUAAAGGUUAAAAAAAAGUUAAAUAAAGAUAAAAAAUAAGGAAGAUAGAAACACAAGUAGUCUUCAUCAUCCCCCCAUGUUUUAGUAGUCUUCAUCAUCCCCCCAUGUUUUAGUAGUCUUCAUCUUCCCCCCAUGUUUUAGUAGUCUUCAUCUUCCCCUAUGUUUUGUCGUCUUCAUCUUCUUCCCAUGUUUUAGUCGUCUUCAGAAUCCCCCAUGUUUUCGUAGUCUUCAUCUCCCCCCAUGUUUUAGUAGUCUGCAUCAUCCCCAUGUUUUAGUGUCUUCAUCUCCCCCCCUGUUUUAGUAGUCUUCAUCUUCCCCCAUGUUUUAGUAGUCUUCAUCUUCCCCCUAGUUUAGUAUCUUCAUCUUCCCCCCCAGUUUAGUAGUCUUCCUUUUCCCCCAUGUGUUUAGUAGUCUUCAUUUCCCCCCAUGUUUUAGUAGUCUUCAUCUUCCCCCCCCUGUUUUAGUAGUUCCCUUUUAUCUUCCCCCAUGUUUAGUAGUCUUCAUCACCCCCCAUGUUUUUGUAGUUCAUUUUCCCCCAUGUUUAGUAGUCUUAGUCUCUCUUCCCAUGUUUAGUAGUCUUCAUCUCCCAUGUUUUAGUAGUCUUCAUCUUCCCCCCUGUUUCAGUCUUCUGUCACCCCCAUGUUUUAGUAGUCUUCAUCAUCCCCCCAUGUUUUAGUAGUCUUCAUCCUCCCCCAGUUUUGUGUCUUCAUCUUCCCCCAUGUUUUAGUAGUCUUCAUCUUCCCCCAUGUUUUAGUAGUCUUCAUUCUCCCCACAUGUUUUAGUAGUCUUCAUCUUCCCCCCAUGUUUAGUGGUAUUCAUCUCCCCCAUGUUUUAGUAGUCUUCAUCUUCUUCCCAUGUUUUAGUAGUCUUCAUCUCCCCCCCAUGUUUUAGUAGUCUUCAUCAUCCCCCCAUGUUUUAGUAGUCUUCAUCUUCUUCCCAUGUUUUCAAUGUAUUCAAAAGAACAUGACUAUUCUUCAACUACAACAAGGGUGGCUCAGAGUAAAUACCACAAUCGGUGUAUUAAAAAUAUUCCUUAUUAUAGUUCUUACAGCUCAGUAACAGGUCCUGUAAUAUAGCAGUACAGUUCAGUAUCAUUAACACUAAUAUCUCAGUACACUACCAACCAUUCGCAGAGGAUAUCUGGUGUUAAAUGCUAUAAUAACAAGCUACAAAUCACUGUUCACAAACACACACACACACUAUAAAUCAACAGUGUGUUGAUCAGUCCAGCAGCACUCAGCUAACAGAUUCAUUAUUGAUCUUCUUCCAGACCCAUCAGACUCCACUGAGCAGCUAACAGAUUCAUUAUUGAUCUCCUUCCAGACCAAUCAGACUCCACUGAGCAGCUAACAGAUUCAUUAUUGAUCUCCUUCCAGACCCAUCAGACUCCACUGAGCAGCUAACAGAUUCAUUAUUGAUCUCCUUCCAGACCCAUCAGAUUCCAUUGAACAGACAGAUCCCUGUAUUAUAAUAUAUCUCUAUGGUAACAUCACAGACAGAUCCCUGUAUUAUAAUAUAUCUCUAUGGUAACAUCACAGACAGAUCCCUGUAUUAAAAUAUAUCUCUAUGGUAACAUCACAGACAUCCCUGUAUUAUAAUAUAUCUCUAUGGUAACAUCAAAGAAAGGAAGAGGUAAGCACAAUGGUCAUGCACCUUGAAUACCUUCAUCACAUCAUUACCUGUCAAUCAUUAACACAAUGGCACUAGACUGGAUUUACGCAUACCAAAUCAACCCCUAAACCCUAGCCCAUUAGUAUAUGGUCAAAUCAACCCCUAGCCCAUUACUAUAUGGUCAAACCAAUCCCUAGCCCAUUAGUAUAUGGUCAAAUCAAUCUCUAGCCCAUUAGUAUAUGGUCAAAUCAAUCUCUAGCCCAUUAGUAUAUGAUCAAAUCAAUCUCUAGCCCAUUAGUAUAUGAUCAAAUCAAUCUCUAGCCCAUUAGUAUAUGAUCAAAUCAAUCCCCAGCCCAUUAGUAUAUGAUCAAAUCAAUCCCUAGCCCAUUAGUAUAUGAUCAAAUCAAUCUCUAGCCCAUUAGUAUAUGGUCAAAUCAACCCCUAGCCCAUUAGUAUAUGGUCAAAUCAACCCCUAGCCCCUAACCCAUUAGUAUAUGGUCAAAUCAACCCCUAGCCCCUAGCCCAUUAGUAUAUGGUCAAAUCAACCCCUAGCCCCAUUAGUAUAUGGUCAAAUCAAUCCCUAGCCCAUUAGUAUAUGGUCAAACCAAUCCCUAGCCCAUUAGUAUAUGGUCAAAUCAAUCCCUAGCCCAUUAGUAUAUGAUCAAAUCAAUCCCUAGCCCAUUAGUAUAUGAUCAAAUCAAUCUCUAGCCCAUUAGUAUAUGAUCAAAUCAAUCUCUAGCCCAUUAGUAUAUGAUCAAAUCAAUCCCUAGCCCAUUAGUAUAUGAUCCAAUCAAUCUCUAGCCCAUUAGUAUAUGGUCAAAUCAAUCCCUAGCCCAUUAGUAUAUGGUCAAAUCAAACCCCUAGCCCAUUAGUAUAUGGUCAAAUCAACCCCUAGCCCCUAGCCCAUUAGUAUAUGGUCAAAUCAACCCCUAGCCCCUAGCCCCAUUAGUAUAUGGUCAAAUCAAUCCCUAGCACAUUAGUACAUGGUUGCAAUGAGAUGGCUCUUUUCUGUGAUGUCCUCUGCUAUCUAUAUUAAGGGCCGACUCCAGGUUUGAACUGUUCAAGGCUCUAGUGUAUUCUAACAACAACCUUGUCAUGGAUAUAUUGUUAACGCAUCCUGAAUCUGCUGCCAUGGCAACUUAUCCUGGCUUGCUACCAUGGCUACAGCAUAAACAUAUCCUGACUUUGUUAUCUUGCUUUGGAGAGUCAUUCUCUGCAUAGGAAUAUAAUAAUAAUUCUAAUUCCGUGGUUCUCUUCCCCUUCUGCUUUUCCAGUGGCUUUACACACACACAGAGAGUACUGUACUGCCCAUGAAAACACAAGGUAUUCUGGAUAACACAGUACUGUACUGCCCAUGAAAAACACACUGUAUACUAGAUAACACAGUACAGUUCUGCCCAUGAAAAACAUACUGUAUUCUGGAUAACACAGUACUGUACUGCCCAUGAAAACACAAGGUAUUCUGGAUAACACAGUACUGUACUGCCCNCUGCCCAUGAAAAACAUACUGUAUUCUGGAUAACACAGUACUGUACUGCCCAUGAAAACACAAGGUAUUCUGGAUAACACAGUACUGUACUGCCCAUGAAAAACACACUGUAUUCUGAAUAACACAGUACCGUACUGCCCAUGAAAACACAAGGUAUUCUGGAUAACACAGUACUGUACUGCCCAUGAAAAACACUGUAUUCUGGAUAACACAGUACUGUACUGCCCAUGAAAAACACACUGUAUUCUGAAUAACACAGUACUGUACUGCCCAUGACAACACAAGGUAUUCUAGAUAACACAGUAAUGUACUGCCCAUGAAAAACAUACUGUAUUCUGGAUAACACAGUACUGUACUGCCCAUGAAAACACAAGGUAUUCUGGAUAACACAGUACUGUACUGCCCAGGAAAAACCACUGUAUUCUGGAUAACACAGUACGUACUGCCCAUGAAACACACUGUAUCUGGAUAACACAGUACUGUAACUGCCCAUGAAAAACACACUGUAUUCUGAUAAACAGUACUGUACUGCCCAUGAAAAACACACUGUAUUCUGGAUAACAACGUACUGUACUGCCCAUGAAAAACCACUGUAUUCUGGAUACACAUUACUGUACUGCCCAUGAAAACACACUGUAUUCUGGA